UACGUAGGGUGCAAGCGUUGUCCGGAAUUAUUGGGCGUAAAGAGCUCGUAGGCGGCCUGUCGCGUCGGCUGUGAAAACUCAGGGCUCAACCCUGAGCUUGCAGUCGAUACGGGCAGGCUAGAGUUCGGUAGGGGAGAUUGGAAUUCCUGGUGUAGCGGUGGAAUGCGCAGAUAUCAGGAGGAACACCGAUGGCGAAGGCAGAUCUCUGGGCCGUAACUGACGCUGAGGAGCGAAAGCAUGGGGAGCGAACAGG
rnacentral:rRNA from 1 species